rnacentral:rRNA from 1 species
UACGUAGGGUGCGAGCGUUGUCCGGAAUUAUUGGGCGUAAAGGGCUCGUAGGCGGUUUGUCGCGUCGGGAGUGAAAUCAUCUGGCUUAACUGGGUGCUUGCUUUCGAUACGGGCAGACUAGAGGUAUGCAGGGGAGAACGGAAUUCCUGGUGUAGCGGUGGAAUGCGUAGAGAUCCGGAGGAAGACCGGUGGCGAAGGCGGCCUGCUGGGCAGUUACUGACACUGAGGUGCGAAAGCGUGGGGAGCAAACGAGGA